rnacentral:rRNA from 1 species
UACGUAGGGGCAAGCGUUGUCCGGAAUCAUUGGGCGUAAAGAGCGUGUAGGCGGCUCGGUAAGUCCGCUGUGAAAGUCCGGGGCUCAACCUCGGAUCGGCCGUGGCGACUCGUGGGCUGGAGCACUGUAGAGGCGGGUGGAAUUCCGGGUGUAGCGGUGGAAUGCGUAGAGAUCCGGAAGAACACCAGUGGCGAAGGCGGCCCGCUGGGCAGUGGCUGACGCUGAGGCGCGACAGCUAGGGGAGCAAACAGG